rnacentral:rRNA from 1 species
AAACUCAAAGGAAUUGACGGGGGCCCGCACAAGCGGAGGAGCAUGUGGUUUAAUUCGAUGAUACGCGAGGAACCUUACCUGGGCUCGAACGUAAGAUGACUGUAGGUGAAAGCUUACAUCUCUUCGGAGCAUUUUACGAGGUGCUGCAUGGCUGUCGUCAGCUCGUGCUGUGAAGUGUUGGGUUAAGUCCCGCAACGAGCGCAACCCCUGCAUUCAGUUGCCAUCGGGUAAUGCCGGGCACUCUGGAAGGACUGCCAUCGACAAGAUGGAGGAAGGUGGGGAUGACGUCAAGUCCUCAUGGCCUUUAUGACCAGGGCUACACACGUACUACAAUGGCCGGCACAGCGGGAAGCGGAGGGGCGACCCUGAGCGGAUCCCUUGAAAGCCGGUCCCAGUUCGGAUUGCAGUCUGCAACUCGACUGCAUGAAGUUGGAAUCGCUAGUAAUCGCGGAUCAGCCAAGCCGCGGUGAAUACGUUCCCGGGCCUU